rnacentral:rRNA from 1 species
GUAGGUGGCAAGCGUUGUCCGGAAUUAUUGGGCGUAAAGCGCGCGCAGGCGGUCCUUUAAGUCUGAUGUGAAAGCCCACGGGCUCAACCGUGGAGGGUCAUUGGAAACUGGGGGACUUGAGUACAGAAGAGGAAAGCGGAAUUCCAAGUGUAGCGGUGAAAUGCGUAGAGAUUUGGAGGAACACCAGUGGCGAAGGCGGCUUUCUGGUCUGUAACUGACGCUGAGGCGCGAAAGCGUGGGGAGCAAACAGGAUUAGAUACCCUGGUAGUCCACGCCGUAAACGAUGAGUGCUAAGUGUUAGGGGGUUUCCGCCCCUUAGUGCUGCAGCUAACGCAUUAAGCACUCCGCCUGGGGAGUACAGCCGCAAAGGCUG